rnacentral:rRNA from 1 species
GACGAACGCUGGCGGCGUGCCUAAUACAUGCAAGUUGAGCGCUGAAGGUUGGUACUUGUACCAACUGGAUGAGCAGCGAACGGGUGAGUAACGCGUGGGGAAUCUGCCUUUGAGCGGGGGACAACAUUUGGAAACGAAUGCUAAUACCGCAUAAAAACUUUAAACACAAGUUUUAAGUUCGAAAGAUGCAAUUGCAUCACUCAAAGAUGAUCCCGCGUUGUAUUAGCUAGUUGGUGAGGUAAAGGCUCACCAAGGCGAUGAUACAUAGCCGACCUGAGAGGGUGAUCGGCCACAUUGGGACUGAGACACGGCCCAAACUCCUACGGGAGGCAGCAGUAGGGAAUCUUCGGCAAUGGACGAAAGUCUGACCGAGCAACGCCGCGUGAGUGAAGAAGGUUUUCGGAUCGUAAAACUCUGUUGGUAGAGAAGAACGUCGGUGAGAGUGGAAAGCUCAUCAAGUGACGGUAACUACCCAGAAAGGGACGGCUAACUACGUG